rnacentral:rRNA from 1 species
AUUGAACGCUGGCGGCAGGCCUAACACAUGCAAGUCGAGCGGAGCGGCGGACGGGUGAGUAAUGCCUAGGAAUCUGCCUGGUAGUGGGGGAUAACGUCCUGAAACGGGCGCUAAUACCGCAUACUAUCAGAUGAGCCUAGGUCGGAUUAGCUAGUUGGUGGGGUAAAGGCCUACCAAGGAGACGAUCCGUAACUGGUCUGAGAGGAUGGUCAGUCACCCGGGAGCUGAGACACGGUCCCGACUCCUACGGUAGGCAGCAGUAGGGAAUCUUCGGCAAUGGACGAAAGUCUGACCGAGCAACGCAGCGUGAGUGAAGAAGGCCUUCGGGUUGUAAAGCACUUUCAGCGGGGAGGCGUUACCCGCAGAAGAAGCACCGGCUAACUCCGUGCCAGCAGCCGCGGUAAUUC